rnacentral:misc_RNA from 1 species
GAUGAAGAACGCAGCGAAAUGCGAUAAGUAAUGUGAAUUGCAGAAUUCGGUGAAUCAUCGAAUCUUUGAACGCACAUUGCGCCCUCUGGUAUUCCGGGGGGCAUGCCUGUUCGAGCGUCAUUAUAACCACUCAAGCUCUCGCUUGGUAUUGGGGUUCGCGGUUUCGCGGCCCCUAAAAUCAGUGGCGGUGCCUGUCGGCUCUACGCGUAGUAAUACUUCUCGCGAUUGAGUUCGAUAGGUCUACUUGCCAGUAACCCCCAAUUUUUACAGGUUGACCUCGGAUCAGGUAGGGAUACCCGCUGAACUUAAGCAUAUCAAUAAGCGGAGGA